UACAGAGGUCCCAAGCGUUGUUCGGAUUCACUGGGCGUAAAGGGUGCGUAGGUGGUCGGGUAAGUUAGAGGUGAAAGCCCGGGGCUCAACUCCGGAAUUGCCUUUAAGACUGCAUCGCUAGAAUUGUGGAGAGGUAAGUGGAAUUCCGAGUGUAGAGGUGAAAUUCGUAGAUAUUCGGAAGAACACCAGUGGCGAAGGCGACUUACUGGACACAUAUUGACGCUGAGGUGCGAAAGCGUGGGGAGCAAACAGG
rnacentral:rRNA from 1 species